AUUGAACGCUGGCGGCAGGCCUAACACAUGCAAGUCGAGCGGAGCGGCGGACGGGUGAGUAAUGCCUAGGAAUCUGCCUGGUAGUGGGGGAUAACGUCCGGAACCGGGCGCUAAUACCACAUACUAUCAGAUGAGCCUAGGUCUGAUUAGCUAGUUGGUGGGGUAAAGGCCUACCAAGGCGACGAUCAGUAACUGGUCUGAGAGGAUUAUCAGUCACACCGGAACUGAGACACGGUCCAGACGCCUACGUGAGGCAGCAGUGGGGAAUAGUGGACAAUGGGAGAAAGCCUGAUCCAGCCAUGCCGAGUGUGUGAAGAAGGUCUUCGGAUUGUAAAUGACUUUAAGUUGGUAGGCGUUACCAACAGAAUAAGCACCGGCUAACUCCGUGCCAGCCGCCGCGGUAAUUC
rnacentral:rRNA from 1 species